CCUACGGGGUGCAGCAGUGGGGGAUAUUGGACAAUGGGGGAAACCCUGAUCCAGCGACGCCGCGUGAGUGAAGAAGUAUUUCGGUACGUAAAGCUCUAUCAGCAGGGAAGAAAGAAAUGACGGUACCUGAGUCAGAAGCCCCGGCUAACUACGUGCCAGCAGCCGCGGUAAUACGUAGGGGGCAAGCGUUAUCCGGAAUUACUGGGUGUAAAGGGAGCGUAGACGGUAAUGCAAGUCUGGAGUGAAAGGCGGGGGCCCAACCCCCGGACUGCUCUGGAAACUGUGUAACUGGAGUGCAGGAGAGGCAGGCGGAAUUCCUAGUGUAGCGGUGAAAUGCGUAGAUAUUAGGAGGAACACCAGUGGCGAAGGCGGCCUGCUGGACUGUAACUGACGUUGAGGCUCGAAAGCGUGGGGAGCAAACAGGAUUAGAUACCCCAGUAGUC
rnacentral:rRNA from 1 species